UGGGGAAUCUUGCACAAUGGGGGCAACCCUGAUGCAGCGACGCCGCGUGAGCGAUGAAGCCCUUCGGGGCGUAAAGCUAUUUCGACCGGAACGAUAAUGACGGUACCGGGAGAAGAAGCUGCGGCUAACUACGUGCCAGCAGCCGCGGUAAUACGUAGGCAGCAAGCGUUGUUCGGAGUUACUGGGCGUAAAGAGUGCGUGGGCGGUGUUCUAAGUUCGGUGUGAAAUCUCCCGGCUUAACUGGGAGGGUGCGCCGAAGACUGGGAAGCUGGAGUGUGGGAAAGGCGGGCGGAAUUCCGGGUGUCGCGGUGAAAUGCGUAGAUAUCAGGAGGAACACCGGCGGUGUAGACGGCUUGCGAGACCAUAACUGACGCUGAGGCACGAAAGCGUGGGUAGCAAAC
rnacentral:rRNA from 1 species